AUCUAAUUUGUUAAAGUUAUUUUCAUUUUAAUGGAGAACCGAUUCUGAAUGAUGGCUCAUUUAAAGUUGGCCCAACAACCUUAAACUUGUCUUCAAUGGAGGAACAACCAUUACUAAUCUUGAUAUACCAGAAAUACCGUCGCGCCAAUUCAAGUUUAAGCCUAUUGAACAUUUUCUUAAUGGAAUUUCCAAUAUGAUUUGUUAUAUGACGUUAUUAGAGUUCUGCAAGAUGUUGCGAAAAUACAAUGGUCGGUGGUGGUAAGAAAUCAUGCGUCAAUAUCACUCUACAUGAUGAAAUUGGUAAUGUUAUUAAAGUUACCUUAUGGGAAGAUUUUAGCAAAUAGUUAAUGAACCAUAACAGCUCAAACAUCAGUACAUGUCCAACAAUUAUUAUCUUAACAUGAGUGUUUCGCCAUAAUGAUUGGCACUACCAAAACAUUCAAAGCCUCCAAAUUUGGAUGAUAUCAUGAGACUUUCCCGACUUACAAAUUAUCUAACAAGUCCCCCGGGGUCAAAUUUGAAUGUACACGUGGAGUGAAAGAUGUGGAACCAAUAACUAUGAUUGUAUCCUAUUCCUUGAAGUGAUUGCAAGAGAAUUAAGACAGCUCAUGAAGGCGUCUGGAGAGGAUCACCCUAAAAUAUAUAUGUAACACC